UUUUUUUUUAGAGUUAGUAUUAUUAAAAAUAAGUUAGAAAAAAUAUGAUCACUAUACUACUACUGUUGGUACUAUUAUUACUCCGUACAGUAUUAGUAACUUUGGCAAAGUUGCUAGUGGCAUGAUGUACAACUACUAUUGCACUACUACUGCAGCAUCCAUCACAGCAUCAGUGAUAGCAUCUAUGAUCUUAAGAGGAAUUGUGUGCAAGUAUGGGAAAACACU
rnacentral:ribozyme from 14 species